rnacentral:lncRNA from 1 species
GUGAGAGUUGAUGAGGCUCAGCGUCUCCAGAUAAAAGAAGGGACAGAGCUGUCGGUGCGGUGAGGUUUGAAAAGUUGCGGCGGCCCCGGCAGCUGCAGGGGGCGAGCGCGGAGCAAAGCCCGGGCCGCACCAGACGGGCCCUGAGUCUCCAGGGCUCCUCGUCCCCAUGCGCCAGCGUGUCUGAUGCUUCACUGGACCCGGGUCUCUUUCUCAAUGUCAUCUCACAGCCUCUGUCCCUUGGGUAGGGAAUCAGGCUUCUGAGCUAUCAUCUGCUUAGUACCGUCGUCCUCUGCUUUGGAAAAUAUUUGAAUUGUGGUCUGAUAGAAGACAUGAAAAAGUUAGAAUACUACUAGAUUCCAAAGGGAAAAAAAAAGUUUCUUCGUUUACAAGUAGCAUCUACUGAUGGGAAUUUCUUAAUUGUUAUCAUUUAAGAAAAUACAGAACCAGGUUUGGAUCCAUGAAAACGAAUUGGUCUUCAGCCUUUCAAACACUGGCCAAAAAAAUUUGCAAAAGAAAAACACAGGCAUCAGGUAGCAGGCACAGUAUUAAAAAUUCAGACAGUUUUACUGUCGGAUCUUAAAAUAUAUUAGAAGUGUGUGACUUUCAUAAAGGACGAGAGAGAAUCAACUUCAUGCUAUUUCGAUAGGUAUUUUCUAGAUAUGCCAGAUAAUUUUGUCUUAUUAUCUCACAGAUUACUUGUUUCAGCCAUACACCAUGGGGAAAAAAAUGGCAAGGGGUUUGAAUGAUCGUUUCCAGAGCAGUUUUUCGUAGCUACAGUAGUACUUCCAUUUUACAAAUUCUCUGUGUUAGUCAUUCACUCAUAUAUUUCAUUCACCAAACAUUUAUUAAGGCUCUUCUAUGUGCUGUGUACAGUGCUAGACUUGGGAGAAGAGGGAUAAGUGGUGAGAGGGACAUACAAAAUUGAAUUAGAAAAAUUCACAGUUUAGGCAACUGGAAAUGCUAGGAAGCAGUUGUAAACCACUAUGAUACAUUCUUGUCGUGAGACGCCACCAGGGCAGCCCCUGCUAAUGGCCGGGAGAGGUACACUGACCACAGCUGAGUUUCGGGGUUCAUCUGCGUGGUGGCCUUUGCUCUUUCAAGGCAGCCACUAUUGGUUCCAUUUACAACAGGAGGAGACCAACACUAAAAGUGCAGUGAUGAGCCUCAUGUCUCACAGUUAGUCAGGCUCCUAAUCCAAAAGCCACUGCUAUGACCUGCGCUUCCGGACAUUCUGCCAUUUGAUCCCUACAACCUCACUACCUGAAGGACUAUAUUUUGAUCAUUCUUAAUGGGCCAGCUUCAAACCCCGUCAAGUUUUGAAGAGGGCAGAUGAAGCUGAUGACAGCUCCAGUUCCAGCUAUGGGUGACCUGUCUGUCUGCCUUUUUUGAGCUGUGGAGUGAUCAGAGUCAUAUUCGCUGCCUGUGCAGUACCACAGGCCUGAUGAAAAUGAAAUGGCAACACCACACAGAUGGCGAAGCGUAGGUCUCACAAGCGUCCUGGCCACGAAGGUAUCUCUCCACUCUCCUCCGCAUCCAGUACAUCACCGCCAUGGGCUGAAUGUUUGUGUCCCGGCAAAUUUCUGUGUUGAAAUCUAAGCCCCAAGAUGAUGGUAUCAGAGAUGAGGGCUUUGGCAGGUGGUUAAGCCGUGAAGACAGAGGCCUGAUGAAAGGGGUUGGUGCCUUUAGAAAAGAGGCCUCAGAUAGCUGUCCCGUCCCUUCUACCAUGUGGGAAUGAAGAGAGACAGUAUCACCUGUGAACCAGAAGGUGGCGCUCACCAGACAUUGAAUCUGCUGAUGCAGUGUUCUCGGAUGUGAACCAGAAAAUCUGAGACGGGUCUUAGUUAAUUUGGAAAGUUUAUUUUGCCAAGGUUGAGGACGUGCUUGUGACACAGCCUCAGGAAAUCCUGAUGACAUGUGCCCAAGGUGGUCAGGGCACAGCUUGGUUUUAUACAUUUAGGGAGACAUGAGGCAUCAAUUAAUAUAUGUAAGAAACACUGGUUCGGUCUGGAAAGGCGGGAAAACUUGAAGCAAAGGCAGGAAGGCUGGAAGCAGGGAGGGAGCUUCCAGGCCACAGAUAGGUGAUACACAAAUGGUUACAUCCUUUUGAAUUUCUCAUUAGCCUUUCCAAAGGUGGCAAAUCAGAUAUGCAUCUAUCUCAGUGAGUAGAGGAAUGGCUUUGAAUAGAAUGGGAGGCAGGUUUGCCCUAAGCAGUUCCCGGCUUGAGUUUUCCUUAGUGAUUUUGGAGUCCCAAGAUAUUUUCCUUUCACAUGGACUUCCCAGCCUUUAGAACUGUCAGAGAUAAAUGUCUGUUGUUUAUAAGCCACCCAGUUUAUGGCAUUUUGUUAUAGCAGCCCAAACCAAAUAAGAAGACCGCCAGCCAGUUCUACCUAAACAGUCCCUCCAUGUGUCCACCAUCCUGAGUCCCCAUUACCACGCCUUGUCCAGACCCCAGCAUUUCUGUGACUUGAUGCAAUAUAAGUUUACUGCCUAAAUAACAGGUACAGGACUUUGUGUGGACAAAUGUGCUCUUUUCUCCUGGGGUAAUAUCUACGUACAAAUGACUGGGUCACGUGGUAGGUAUUUUUAACUUUUUAAAAAACUACCAAACUGUUUUCCAUAGUCUUUGCACCAUUUCACUUUCCCACCAGCAAUGAAUGAGUGUUCCAGUAACUCUGCAUUCUCAACAGCACUUGUUAUCAUCAGCACUUGUUAUCAUCACCUUAAAGAGUUUCAGCCAUUCUAAAGGUGUGUAGUGGUUUUCUCCCCACCUUUUAAUUUUCUUAAUAGUGCCCUUCAAAAAACAGAAGUUUUUAAUUUUGAUGAAAUCUAGUUUACCAAUUGUUUUCUUUUAUGGAUUGUGCUUUUUGUUGUUACAUGUAUGAAAUCUUUGCCUAACCCGAGAGUGCAAUAUUUUUUUUCCAUGUGUUCUUACAGAAGUCUUAUAUAUCUAUGUUUUACAUUUAGGUCUACGAUCAAUUUCAGUUAAUUUUCAUAUAGGGCCUAAGAUAUGGAUUCAGGUUCAUUUUCUGGCACAUGAACAUCCAUCUGUUCCAGCACCAUUUGGUGAAAAAAUGAUACUUUUCCAUUGAAUUACUUUUGCAUUUUUAUUGAAAAUAAGACAAAAUUCCAAAUACCAUAAUCCUGAAUGCUAAAAUCCCAAAAGAUCAAAGAUCCUAAAGUAUAAAUCCCUAAAGUCUAAAAUUCUGAAAAUCACAAUCACAGGAUAGGGUUUUUUUUCCUUUUCUUCUAUUUUUUUCACUAUUUUAAAUAGCAAAACAAUUCACUAUGCUAUAUAUUUCAUCGUUGCAUCAUUUCCAAAACUUGACGUAUAGGUUGUGCAGAGACGUUUAGAGAGUCCUAAUUUGUUUCAUGCAUUUUUUUGCAAAUGUGACUCCAUGAAAGUUCAUUAUCUCAAUGUUGAUUUUGUGUAUAAACAUUGUGUAUGUACAUGAAAACAUUGAAACCUCCUCAGUGAUGUCCUUUUUGUACACCUGCAUUUGUAAAAGACAACAUUUUUUGAGAUCUCAGCUCUUUGGGUGACUGCAUAUGUAGUGGUAAUCCAUUGUGGUUUUUGAUCAAUCUUGUCAAAAGACUUCGGUUUUUUAUCACAGUAUUUCAGAUGAGCACAUAUACAAAGCUGGUUGCACACAAUUACCAAUCAUAGUGAUAUGUGUUUACACAUUUUCCUUUUGACCUACUUCUUUAGGAAUACAGUUUAUCUGCUCAUAAAUGCUAUAUCUGUGCCAGGUAUAGUCGUAUACCUGAGUAUUUAUUCUUGCAAAAACAUGUACGCUAGUAUUGCUUCUUUUAUUGUGUAAAGCGGCCUAUGAAGUGUUCUGUUGUGUUUUUAUAUGUUUCUCAAAUAAAUCCCCC